GAUGAACGCUGGCGGCGUGCCUAAUACAUGCAAGUCGAGCGAACGGACGAGAAGCUUGCUCUUCUGAUGUUAGCGGCGGACGGGUGAGUAACACGUGGAUAACCUACCUAUAAGACUGGGAUAACUUCGGGAAACCGGAGCUAAUACCGGAUAAUAUUUUGAACCGCAUGGUUCAUAAGUGAAAGACGGUCUUGCUGUCACUUAUAGAUGGAUCCGCGCUGCAUUAGCUAGUUGGUAAGGUAACGGCUUACCAAGGCAACGAUGCAUAGCCGACCUGAGAGGGUGAUCGGCCACACUGGAACUGAGACACGGUCCAGACUCCUACGGGAGGCAGCAGUAGGGAAUCUUCCGCAAUGGGCGAAAGCCUGACGGAGCAACGCCGCGUGAGUGAUGAAGGUCUUCGGAUCGUAAAACUCUGUUAUUAGGGAAGAACAUAUGUGUAAGUAACUGUGCACAUCUUGACGCUACCUAAUCAGAAAGCCACGGCUAACUACGUG
rnacentral:rRNA from 1 species